GACGAACGCUGGCGGCGUGCUUAACACAUGCAAGUCGAACGGAAAGGCCCUGCUUGCAGGGUACUCGAGUGGCGAACGGGUGAGUAACACGUGGGUGAUCCGCCCUGCACUUCGGGAUAAGCCUGGGAAACUGGGUCUAAUACCGGAGAGGAGCCAUCUUUAGGGUGAUGGUUGGAAAGUAUUUUCGGUGUGGGAUGAGCUCGCGGCCGAUCAGCUUGUUGGUGGGGUAAUGGCCUACCAAGGCGGCGUCGGGUAGCCGGCCUGGGGGGGUGGACGGGCACAAUGGGGCUGGGGAACGGCCCAGAAUCCUACGGGGAGCAGCAGGGGGGAAAAAUGGAAAAUGGGGGGGAACCUGGAGCAACGACGCCGGGUUGGGGGUGAAGGGCUUCGGGUUGUAAACUCCUUUCGGUAGGGGCGAAACUGUGAGUGACGGUAACUGGAUAAGAAGCACCGGCUAACUACGUG
rnacentral:rRNA from 1 species